rnacentral:ncRNA from 2 species
AAAUUAUCGUUCCUCCGAGCUGCACGACCUAAAGGGGAAGGCCCCAAGGGUCGCGCGGCCGAUGGGUUUCGCUGGAAACGGCGGAGCCUCCUUUUCGGAAAGGAGAUCGACCAUGAUGGAA